rnacentral:misc_RNA from 1 species
AUGACAAUUGUUGAUUAUAUACAAACUCUAUCCGAUAAUCCAUAUUUUGGCGCUGGCUUUGGCCUCUUUGGCCUUGGUGCCACUGCUGCUUUAUUGAGAAAAAGUGCACAAUUUGGGGCUGUAUUAUUCAGACGGCAUUAUAUGAUCACUUUGGAAGUACCAUGCCGUGACAAAAGUUAUCAAUGGCUUCUACAAUGGAUCACACACAAAGGUGCUCGUAAGACUCAACAUCUCUCUGUGGAGACUAGCUUUGAACAGAAAGAAACUGGUCAUGUGAAAACAAAAUAUGAUUUUAUUCCCAGUAUAGGAACUCAUUUCUUCAGGUAUAAGGGGAAUUGGAUAAAAGUUGAAAGAACAAGAGAACAACAGACUUUAGACUUACAUAUGGGUAUACCAUGGGAGACUGUGCAGUUAACAGCCUUUGGCAAGGACAGAAGCAUAUAUUUCAACAUCCUUGAAGAAGCCAGACAAAUGGCAUUGAAAGAGCAUGAGGGAAAAACUAUAAUGUAUACUGCUAUGGGAAGCGAAUGGCGACAGUUUGGUCAUCCUAAGAAAAAACGACCAUUGGAGUCGGUAGUUUUAGAUACUGGUGUGUCUGAAAGAAUAGUCAAUGACUGCCGAGAAUUUAUCAAUAAUCCUUCGUGGUACAGCGAAAGAGGAAUUCCGUAUCGCCGAGGCUAUUUAUUGUAUGGGCCUCCAGGAUGCGGAAAGUCAUCAUAUAUUACUGCCUUGGCUGGAGAACUAGAGCGCGGCAUUUGUGUCUUAAAUUUAUCUGAAAGAGGUCUGACGGACGACAGACUGAAUCACUUAUUAGCAGUAGCUCCGCAGCAAACCAUUAUCCUUCUCGAAGAUAUCGACGCUGCUUUUACCAGCAGGCAGGAAUCUAAAGAAGUCAAAGCAGCGUACGAGGGUCUGAACAGAGUUACGUUUAGCGGUUUGUUAAACUGCCUGGAUGGCGUAGCAUCUGCAGAAGCUAGGAUAUUAUUUAUGACGACUAAUUAUCUGGAAAGAUUGGACCCUGCACUCGUUAGACCAGGCAGAGUCGAUGUUAAGGAAUAUAUUGGAUGGUGCAGCGAGAAUCAGGUUGAGCAAAUGUUCCGAAGAUUCUACAGAGAACCGGGCAAGGAUCCUGAUGUACUCGCGAGAAAAUUUGCAGAUAACGUUAUUUCCUACAAAAGAAACGUCAGUCCUGCGCAAAUUCAAGGAUACUUCAUGUUUCAUAAAAACAAUCCAGAUGCGGUGAUAAAUAAUGUUGCACAAAUCUGGGAACUCACGUGAUGAAAAGUGAAAUCUAGUAUAAUCUGAAGCAGGACUAUUUAUAUUAGCAUCGAUGACCAUGCGAAGUGACUAUAGUACAUACACAUAUACACACAUUCUUGUGUUUUAUAUAAAGAUACUUUAUUAUUCUGAAGAGAGAUCAAUCUAUACAGAGUACAGAGGAAUCACAAUGAAAUGCUGCAUUAUUGCGACCGUAAAAGUCUUCGAAAGUUAAUGCAACUUUUCUCAAACGUAACAGUCGGAGAAUCAUCGAGUUUUUUUG